CCUACGGGAGGCAGCAGUAAGGAAUAUUGGUCAAUGGGCGGAAGCCUGAACCAGCCAUGCCGCGUGCAGGAAGACGGCCCUAUGGGUUGUAAACUGCUUUUGUACCGGAAUAAACCCUUUUACGUGUAAGAGGCUGAAUGUACGGUAAGAAUAAGGAUCGGCUAACUCCGUGCCAGCAGCCGCGGUAAUACGGAGGAUCCAAGCGUUAUCCGGAUUUAUUGGGUUUAAAGGGUGCGUAGGCGGCCUGUUAAGUCAGGGGUGAAAGACGGUAGCUCAACUAUCGCAGUGCCUUUGAUACUGACGGGCUUGAAUGUACUUGAGGUAGGCGGAAUGUGACAAGUAGCGGUGAAAUGCAUAGAUAUGUCACAGAACACCAAUUGCGAAGGCAGCUUACUAAGGUAUGAUUGACGCUGAGGCACGAAAGCGUGGGGAUCAAACAGGAUUAGAUACCCUGGUAGUCCACGCCCUAAACGAUGAAUACUCGAUGUUGGCGAUAUACGGCCAGCGUCUAAGCGAAAGCGUUAAGUAUUCCACCUGGGGAGUACGCCCGCAAGGGUGAAACUCAAAGGAAUUGACGG
rnacentral:rRNA from 1 species